rnacentral:rRNA from 1 species
AGUCGAGCGGAGAUGAGGUGCUUGCACCUUAUCUUAGCGGCGGACGGGUGAGUAAUGCUUAGGAAUCUGCCUAUUAGUGGGGGACAACAUUCCGAAAGGAAUGCUAAUACCGCAUACGCCCUACGGGGGAAAGCAGGGGAUCUUCGGACCUUGCGCUAAUAGAUGAGCCUAAGUCGGAUUAGCUAGUUGGUGGGGUAAAGGCCUACCAAGGCGACGAUCUGUAGCGGGUCUGAGAGGAUGAUCCGCCACACUGGGACUGAGACACGGCCCAGACUCCUACGGGAGGCAGCAGUGGGGAAUAUUGGACAAUGGGCGGAAGCCUGAUCCAGCCAUGCCGCGUGUGUGAAGAAGGCCUUUUGGUUGUAAAGCACUUUAAGCGAGGAGGAGGCUACUUAGAUUAAUACUCUAGGAUAGUGGACGUUACUCGCAGAAUAAGCACCGGCUAACUCUGUGCCAGCAGCCGCGGUAAUACAGAGGGUGCGAGCGUUAAUCGGAUUUACUGGGCGUAAAGCGUGCGUAGGCGGCUGAUUAAGUCGGAUGUGAAAUCCCUGAGCUUAACUUAGGAAUUGCAUUCGAUACUGGUCAGCUAGAGUAUGGGAGAGGAUGGUAGAAUUCCAGGUGUAGCGGUGAAAUGCGUAGAGAUCUGGAGGAAUACCGAUGGCGAAGGCAGCCAUCUGGCCUAAUACUGACGCUGAGGUACGAAAGCAUGGGGAGCAAACAGGAUUAGAUACCCUGGUAGUCCAUGCCGUAACGAUGUCUACUAGCCGUUG